CGCACAUUGCGCCCUUUGGUAUUCCGAGGGGCACGCCUGUUCGAGCGUCAUUUAAACCAUCAAGCACCGCUUGGUAUUGGACGCGGUCGUAGCGACCCGUCCGCAACCCGUUGGCGGUAUCGUCCGGCUCUAAGCGUAGCAAGUUUUACCCUCGCUUUGGGAGCUCUGGCGGUGCCUGCCACCCAAUCUAAAUCUAGUACCUAAAGUUUGACCUCGGAUCAGGUGGGGAUACCCGCUGAACUUAA
rnacentral:misc_RNA from 1 species